rnacentral:lncRNA from 1 species
ACGAGGGAUCAAAUCAGCUGGGUUCGAAGCCUCUACAGUAAAUUCGGUUCGGCGAGAUGAGCCGAAUAUGCGGGCUGAGCAAGAACCGAAGUAGGCCGAGGAGCCGAAUGACUAUAGAACAAAGGAAUGGGUCGGCUUGAAGAGCCGAAUGCCUUUAUAUUGAGUGGAAGGAAGUAUAGGGGUCGAGUGUGCCGGAUGGCAUGCAAACUCGAUUGAUCUACUUUAUGGACUACUCCUAAAAAGAACAGUAAAUGCGGAAAAAGAAAAGUUACAAGUAAACUACUCCCAGAGAAUACAGGAAAUUAUGAGGAAUUAAGAGUGGUCUUUUGUUCACAGGAAAAAAGACCCUUUUUUAGGGCGUUAUUGACCUAUUUAUAGAUCGCCCCUUGAUCAGUUAUUACUCUUACACGAUCUGCCACUAUCUCCUAAUAUCCUGGACCACCUCCAGCCGAUCGGAAUUGCAUGCAACUGCUUGCGGUUACUGUAACUUCCUUCAAUUGGCGUGACGGUUUAUUCUCUAAACCCUUUCGGUGCUCCCGGUGUAUAGCAAGAUUGAUCCCUUUGAACGGAAUACCGGCAUACCACCUG